rnacentral:rRNA from 1 species
AUUGAACGCUGGCGGCAGGCCUAACACAUGCAAGUCGAGCGGAUGAAGGGAGCUUGCUCCUGGAUUCAGCGGCGGACGGGUGAGUAAUGCCUAGGAAUCUGCCUGGUAGUGGGGGAUAACGUCCGGAAACGGGCGCUAAUACCGCAUACGUCCUGAGGGAGAAAGUGGGGGAUGUUCGGACCUCACGCUAUCAGAUGAGCCUAGGUCGGAUUAGCUAGUUGGUGGGGUAAAGGCCUACCAAGGCGACGAUCCGUAACUGGUCUGAGAGGAUGAUCAGUCACACUGGAGCUGAGACACGGUCCAGACUCCUACGGGAGGCAGCAGUGGGGAAUAUUGGACAAUGGGCGAAAGCCUGAUCCAGCCAUGCCGCGUGUGUGAAGAAGGUCUUCGGAUUGUAAAGCACUUUAAGUUGGGAGGAAGGGCAGUAAGUUAAUACCUUGCUGUUUUGACGUUACCAACAGAAUAAGCACCGGCUAACUUCGUG